ACCCUCUCAGGAUGGCACCUGGAGAGUCUCCAGUACUUUACCAGUCUCGGCUAUGGGAGGGAGAGUCAAGCAGAGGCCCAUCCAUUCCAUUCCUAGCUUGGGCAGUGGCUAGCGAGCGGAAGGCCAUCUGCUACAAGU
rnacentral:snoRNA from 1 species